rnacentral:rRNA from 1 species
CAGUCGCCGCGGUAAUACAGAGGGUGCAAGCGUUAAUCGGAAUUACUGGGCGUAAAGCGCGCGUAGGUGGUUCGCCAAGUUGGAUGUGAAAUCCCCGGGCUCAACCUGGGAACUGCAUCCAAAACUGGCAAGCUAGAGUAGGGCAGAGGGUGGUGGAAUUUCCUGUGUAGCGGUGAAAUGCGUAGAUAUAGGAAGGAACACCAGUGGCGAAGGCGACCACCUGGGCUCAUACUGACACUGAGGUGCGAAAGCGUGGGGAGCAAACAGGAUUAGAUACCCCUGUAGUCCCUGUCUCUUAUAC